rnacentral:sRNA from 1 species
UUGCUCGAGGCCCCGAAGCCGACGACAGC